rnacentral:rRNA from 1 species
UACGUAGGGACCAAGCGUUGUUCGGAUUUACUGGGCGUAAAGGGCGCGUAGGCGGCAUGACAAGUCACUUGUGAAAUCUCCGGGCUUAACUCGGAACGGUCAAGUGAUACUGUCGUGCUAGAGUACAGAAGGGGCAACUGGAAUUCUCGGUGUAGCGGUGAAAUGCGUAGAUAUCGAGAGGGAACACCUGCGGCGAAGGCGGGUUGCUGGGCUGAUACUGACGCUGAGGCGCGAAAGCUAGGGGAGCGAACGGG